GUCAGGAUGGCCGAGUGGUCUAAGGCGCCAGACUCAAGCACAGCUUCCCGUCCUGGGACUUCUGGUCUCCGCAUGGAGGCGUGGGUUCGAAUCCCACUUCUGACA
rnacentral:tRNA from 1 species